rnacentral:rRNA from 1 species
GGUGAGUAAAGGCUCACCUAGGCUUCGAUCAGUAGCUGGUCUGAGAGGACGACCAGCCACACUGGAACUGAGACACGGUCCAGACUCGUACGGGAGGCAGCAGUGGGGAAUUUUGGACAAUGGGGGCAACCCUGAUCCAGCCAUUCCGCGUGAGUGAAGAAGGCCUUCGGGUUGUAAAGCUCUUUCGCAAGGGAAGAAACGUUACGAGCGAAUAACUCGUGAUAAUGACGGUACCUUGAUAAGAAGCACCGGCUAACUACGUGCCAGCAGCCGCGGUAAUACGUAGGGUGCGAGCGUUAAUCGGAAUUACUGGGCGUAAAGCGUGCGCAGGCGGUUUUGUAAGUCAGAUGUGAAAUCCCCGAGCUCAACUUGGGAACUGCGUUUGAAACUACAAGGCUAGAGUAUGGUAGAGGGGGGUAGAAUUCCACGUGUAGCAGUGAAAUGCGUAGAGAUGUGGAGGAAUACCAAUGGCGAAGGCAGCCCCCUGGACUAAUACUGACGCUCAUGCACGAAAGCGUGGGGAGCAAACAGGAUUAGAUACCCUGGUAGUCCACGCCCUAAACGAUGUCUACUAGUUGUUGGGAGAGUAAAAUCUCUUAGUAACGCAGCUAACGCGUGAAGUAGACC